CUAUGAUGCCCCACUGAGUGAGGCUGGGGACCUCACUGAGAAGUAUUUUGCUCUGCGAAACAUCAUCCAGAAGGCCAGAUUAUCUUUCCAAAAGUUCAGGUGAGAGGUAGGGUGAUGGGAGAGAAUGCACAGAUCCUCUUGAGACUAUAGCCCCUAUUAAGGCAGCAUGGAUAUAUGGGAGCCCCUAUCCUUGAGACACAGCUAAUGUACUUCAAUAUCAAAAGAGGUAAAGCUAAGCUCUGGUUUCUUUAUUUAAU
rnacentral:lncRNA from 1 species